ensembl:lncRNA
CGGCAACACAGAGUGUAGAAGACAUUUUAGAGGCACAGAGGAAGUAAAGUAAAUGGAAAGAUGCCAGAAAACAUACACACGCUGAGGGAUGUUUUACGUUAUCUGUAGCAAUGAGAGGGCGGUUUGGGUUUGAGUUCCUGCCAAACUUGAGCCUCCACACACAGCUCCCCAAGCAGCAGCUGCUCAAACUGAUUGCAGCACAAAACAGCUGACUUUGAACUUCCAGACCUUUUCGUCAACACUGGAACAGCUGCGGCUGAAAAGAAUGAAAGUCCUGUACCCGUCGUCCAGCUGGCUAGCGGUGUAAACUUUUCCUAAUACGGUGAGCGUGACGGAGUUAUCCGUGUGUCUCCUGAUGCUCUUGUGCUUCAUGUCCCUUACUCCCGAACAUGUCCCACUGGAUCUGUCCCCGUUGAUUUAAAAACCAAGUAUGGGAAUCAAAAGGUGGUGUUAGCACGAAUGCAUCCAGCUAGCUAAACCUUCCCGUGUAGCAUCUCUACAGAAGCUUUUGCAUGUGUGACUUCCCUUUCACGCCAGUCCGUUUUUUCGCCAGAGUUCUUCUGUCAAACGAGUCUUGGAGGACAGAUUUGACCAAGUUUCGGUUGGCUCGCCAUUGUCAUGCCAAUAAAACGGUGCCUCGCAACACUUGCCCUGACGAGAGCGCAGCCUUGAGGCCAAACAACGAAGGCUGAAUCUAUUUUAGGAAGCUGAUUGGCUAAAUGAUGUAUCACACAUUUAUAUCUGUAAUCAGUAAUUGGCUAAACUGCUUGUUAAACCCGCCUCCUUUGGGUCUGGGCCGAGCCCAGCUGAGACAUGGUGACAGGCGCAGAGGAGGUGCAGGAAAAGCCUAUAUUUGGUACAGAUAUCUUAUUUGACAAAAACGACUGGGUAUAGUCCAUAUUUCAGAAACACAAAUACACAAAUAUUGACAAUUUAUCAGAUGUAUUAUUAAUAUUAUUUUUUUGGGCUCAAGGUGGGGCCAGGCCCCAUGGCCCUCUAUGGGCCAGCCGCCACCGUUUAAAGGAUAUAAUCAUAUUAUUAGCUGGAAAUGUAAAAACAGAAACACUGGAACUCUCUUCUUGGCAGAAUAGAUGAGGCUUUUGUAUUCCAAAAUACCUCAGUAUUGUUUAGUAUAUUUUAAAUUUCAUUAAUAAUAAACAGGCUUAUCCGUCAGCCUGAGGCUGUAGCUGGCGGUCAGUCAGGCUCCAAUCAGUGAGGUCAAAUCAGGAGCGCUCAGUAAAUCGAACCAGCUGGCAUAGUGGGGAAAAGAGAAGUUACAGCAAAUUAAAACUGACUCGCCAGAGCAUUGUUAUUCUGUGUAGAGAAGGUUGAGAGGGGACACGGUGCCAUGCUGGAUAGCAGUAUGUACAACCCCAAUGUUCUACUAGAUCUGGAAUAUUGUCAUUUUAGGGAAUAUUAGUGUGCAUGUACUGUAUUACUGUAAAUGUCAUAAAUGAGUCUGUAAUGCACUAUAUUCAAUGACUGAAUUACAUGCGCAUUGUUUUUCCUGAGAAUGCUUUAUAAAAUACAUUUUCAUUUCUUGAAAAGUAAUUAUAACUUAAAUUGAAUUACUGCUUUUGUAACCUGGUCUUAAAUCUUAAAUGUUCCUUUGAGAAAAUUGAUAACUUCCUUAUUCCUAAUCUGACCAUUCUACCGUACAUUGUACAUCAAUCAACAGCAUUAUAGAUGUUGGGACUAGACUCUUGUAGGUUUUAGUCAUUUGUGCUCUGUCUCCAUGCCGCUCCAGCAGGAUGUCAGUCCAACAAUAAUAAAUCCUUGAAGACACCAAGACACUCAGUCCUACUACACACUGCAGGAGGAAGUACUGUAGUUCUGGAUACAGAUUCCAGUCCACAACAAUUUCAUUUUUGUUUACGGCAUCAACAAUCUACUCCGAUCCGAUGGCAAUAUUUACUUCAAUGUUUAUGCAUAUCCAUUUCCUGAGAUGUAACCAAUGAUGCCUUGGAGUACGUGGGUGAACUUGCCUUGGUGGGUUUCUCUUGUCUUGUUUGGAGGCGAGAGGGCAGAGCCUUGGGAGUUAAAAUAUAAUAUAAAUUUCAACUCCAAUAAGCUGCAGCUGUAUUUCCCCUCCAGCAAUUCAAUUUAGUAUCUCAGACCCUUAUGGUGUUCGGUAGAUGACGGUCUUUAGUAGAAAACAUGUCUCUUUGUGACCGCCUGUGUUUAUGUCUGUUGAUUUGCUGUCAAAUUAGUCUUUUACCAUAUUUUCACUUUGUCCUCUUUUCAUGUCGAGCGGCAGGAGCUGUGAUGGUUCGGACUGUCGCCUCGCAGCAAGGAGUUCCUUAACCACCCAGCGGCCUUUCUGUGUGGAGUCUGCAUGUUCUCCCCGUGUCGGCGUGGUUUCUCUGCGGGUACCCCGACUUCCUUCCACAGUCUAAAGACAUGCUGCGGGUGUCGUGUUAAUGAGCCGUAGGAAGAGUUGGUGGCUCUAAAAAGAAAUAAAUGUCAUGAGAUCCUACAAAUCCUCAGGAUUCAUCCUCUGAGCCUUAAAGAUAUCUGUAACUAUUUAAGUGCCCUUAAAUGGGAGAUGAGAUAUCUGAGUGUGGUCAGAAUCUUUGGUCCAAACUUCAUUGCCGUCCUCAGAGCUGCACUUCUCAACAAACAUGCUCUCCAGGAAUAACAGCACACCCAUCUUCCCCCUGGGGCCAACGCAAUCUUUUAAAGGUCACGCCGGCGUAUAACGCAGGGAGACGGUGAAUAAGGGGGGAGGGGAGAGAGAAUUAUUGGACUGAUCAGGGGUUGGGGGGGUUAAGAAGAGGGGAGUAAAGGCAACCAGUGAGUAAAGAAGAACCUCAUAGCAAACCGCAAUCAUCCCUCUGCCUUCAAGGUCGGGUGGGGGAGGACAGAUUAUCUUUCCGUCGAGGUUGGAAAUAGUUCAGCGCGAGAGGAUGGGGGAGAAGGGGAAGAAUGGAGGAGGAGGAGGAGAGGAUUGUAAAGCAGCAGGAAGGAGGCGGGUUGUAAUGUUGUUAAAAGGAAAGAGAGGAGCAGAGAGGUGCAUAACGGCAGUCAAUGCUGUUUUCCUCAGAAUGGGAGCAAAGAGGGAGAACACAGAGAUUGGGGAACAAAAGAAGAACAAGUAAAACAGAGACCAGGGAGGAAAAAAGGAGGAAAAGAGUGCAGACAGAAGUAUUGAAAAGGAGAUUCUACUGAUUUUAAUUCUGCACAAAGAAGGGAGGAUUCAUUGUGCCGGCUGUUAAAAAACACAAGAUCUGCUCGGUGAAGCGCGAUGCUUGCCAGGAGAUCACAGCCUCUCUCUCUCUUUCCCUCUCACUCUCCCUCUCUCUCCCUGCCUCAAAUGCUCGACUGCUUAACACCAAAAUCACAUAUGGACUCAUUUGUGUAGAAGGUGCAUCAAAGCAAGUAUCCCACAAGAAUCAGAUGAAGAAAAAGCAAGUGGCUGUGGGUCGUGCUGUUACAGCAGAGAUUAACUUCUCACUAUCCGUGAAUCCACAAGUUGAUUCGGUCAAACUCUAUCUGUCCUCCCCCUGGAGUUGUUUUGGUUUCAUUAUCCGUAAAGCAUUUAGUCCCCCACACCCACCACACAAUUUUUUUUCAAAGCCACAUUAAGAAACGGAAGACGCUGGCCAGGAAGCAAUCCUUCAGAGACGUGUCACUUCUCUAACAGUCCUCUCGCGUGAUCCACAGCUCAGCUCAAAGAGAGCAGCGAAUGUGCCACCGCGGCACCAAGACGUCCCUUCGCACUCAGCGGAGCCUCCUUGCUGCCUCGGGUUUCUUCAUCAUGGGUUUCUUACGAGAGGGAAACACCUGAACACAACACUGUCCUGCUAGAACUUCACUGGACCGCUCCGAGGGGAACCGCAUGCAGCCCUGCAGCAGCCCCUCUGGCUCAGUGAGGACCGCGUCGAUGUGUCCUUGGGCAGCACACUUGACCCCUGUGUCCUCGAGCCGGGUGUGUGAAUGCCGUGGGUGUUAAUAACUGGGCUAUACACCUGCCACGGUGUUUGAGUGGGCCAUGUUCCCGUACACUCCAUCCACCAUUUACAAACUAAAAACUGCUGUGUGUGAAAUACUUCCCUCAUAAUAUGGGUCAUUUCAGAUAUGGAGAACAGUAUAUUUUCUGGCAAUUCAAUUCAAGUGCAUUUUCUUGUUGUUUUUAUUGCUUUUUUUUAAAUACUUGACGAAUGAAAAGUGUUUUCUCAUUUAAUUACAAAAACAUAUUUAUUGUUAUACAUUGGCGAUGUAUGAGUUCAUCACGAUGUGCUUCCAUUGAAAGACGAUAAAUCCCCACAUUGACUAUCACAGCGCUCUGCACGGCUCCAGAACCUUUUCCUGUCAGGUCCCGUGCACCCAGCGCGAUGAAGCAGAGGGGCUCAGUGACACGGGCGGCUGAUUCAGUUCAGUACAGUCUCAUGAUUUAUUAAUUGUACGCGGUCAAAACCCCUGGAGCUGUGGCAGACACAUAAGUGUUCGCUGUCCUGUGCAGUCAGCGGUUCCAGCUCACCACGGCCCCCUUCUAAUGCAAUCCAACAAGUUAAUGGGAGGAACAACCAAAGAGUGAGAAACGUCACGCUGUGUGAAGAACGUCAGCGACGUCCGACGCGUAGGAGACAAACGGAGUUCAGAUGCAGGGGAAAGAGCCCAGAUGUUCUCACACUGCAUGUUUGGACUGUUUCUGUGACGGCUUAAGACCCCUCUGACGGCACUUGAUUAUGUGCAGUAAGAGCUGUUCUGCUCACUUACUGUGGUGUAUUUUAUCCGGGCCGUAAAAAAACAUAAACACAAGCGAUGCGUGACUGAAUGUGAUGGGAUGUGAUUAUACGGACAAACUGACCUGAUGAACCCACCGCCAGGAACACUAACGGAAACCGGAAAACUACAGGAAAUGUAGAUAGAUGGAUGGGUGUGAGACUGAUUGAUUGAUUUAGGGACUACUAUAGGUAGAUAAAUAGACAGACAGAUCAAGGUACUAGUUUUUUCAUCUCUUUUAUAUUUAUGCAGUGACAUAUAUCGAAUAGUAAAAACAGAAGAUUCGCUUUUUAUGAUCUGUUAAGGUAUUCGGGCCUUCUAGGAUAUAACUACCACAAAUUGUGCAAGAUUAUAAUUAAAU